rnacentral:rRNA from 1 species
AGUGAACGCUGGCGGUAGGCCUAACACAUGCAAGUCGAACGGCAGCACAGUAAGAGCUUGCUCUUACGGGUGGCGAGUGGCGGACGGGUGAGGAAUACAUCGGAAUCUACUUUUUCGUGGGGGAUAACGUAGGGAAACUUACGCUAAUACCGCAUACGACCUACGGGUGAAAGCAGGGGAUCUUCGGACCUUGCGCGAUUGAAUGAGCCGAUGUCGGAUUAGCUAGUUGGCGGGGUAAAGGCCCACCAAGGCGACGAUCCGUAGCUGGUCUGAGAGAAGGAUCAGCCACACUGGAACUGAGACACGGUCCAGACUCCUACGGGAGGCAGCAGUGGGGAAUGUUGGACAAUGGGCGCAAGCCUGAUCCAGCCAUACCGCGUGGGUGAAGAAGGCCUUCGGGUUGUAAAGCCCUUUUGUUGGGAAAGAAAAGCAGCAGGUUAAUACCCCGCUGUUCUGACGGUACCCAAAGAAUAAGCACCGGCUAACUUCGUG